GCAUAUCAAUAAGCGGAGGAAAAGAAACCAACAGGGAUUGCCCUAGUAACGGCGAGUGAAGCGGCAUCAGCUCAAAUUUGAAAUCUGGCUCUUUUAGGGUCCGAGUUGUAAUUUGCAGAGGGCGCUUUGGCGUUGGCAGCGGUCCAAGUUCCUUGGAACAGGACGUCACAGAGGGUGAGAAUCCCGUACGUGGUCGCUAACCUUCGCCGUGUAAAGCCCCUUCGACGAGUCGAGUUGUUUGGGAAUGCAGCUCUAAAUGGGAGGUAAAUUUCUUCUAAAGCUAAAUACUGGCCAGAGACCGAUAGCGCACAAGUAGAGUGAUCGAAAGAUGAAAAGCACUUUGGAAAGAGAGUCAAAUAGCACGUGAAAUUGUUGAAAGGGAAGCGCUUGCAGCCAGACUUGCCUGUAGUUGCUCAUCCGGGCUUUUGCCCGGUGCACUCUUCUGCGGGCAGGCCAGCAUCAGUCUGGGCGGUUGGAUAAAGGCCUCUGUCAUGUACCUCCUUUCGGGGAGGCCUUAUAGGGGAGGCGCCAUGCAACCAGCCUGGACUGAGGUCCGCGCAUCUGCUAGGAUGCUGGCGUAAUGGCUGUAAGCGGCCCGUCUUGAAACACGGACCAAGGAGUCUAACAUCUAUGCGAGUGUUUGGGUGUCAAGCCCGAGCGCGUAAUGAAAGUGAACGGAGGUGGGAUCCCUUUAGGGUGCACCAUCGACCGAUCCUGAUGUCUUCGGAUGGAUUUGAGUAAGAGCAUGGCUGUUGGGACCCGAAAGAUGGUGAACUAUGCUUGAAUAGGGUGAAGCCAGAGGAAACUCUGGUGGAGGCUCGCAGCGGUUCUGACGUGCAAAUCGAUCGUCAAAUUUGGGCAUAGGGGCGAAAGACUAAUCGA
rnacentral:rRNA from 1 species